CUCUUAUCCUGAGUAGGCGGAGGGACAGGCCCGAAGAAGCCCAGCAACCAACACUCUAAAGCCAUGAGUGAAAAGGUGCUAACCUGCAAGGCAAUGUGUCUUGGACGAUAAGAG
rnacentral:ncRNA from 2 species